rnacentral:rRNA from 1 species
GACGAACGCUGGCGGCGUGCCUAAUACAUGCAAGUUGAGCGAUGAAGAUUGGUGCUUGCACCAAUUUGAAGAGCAGCGAACGGGUGAGUAACGCGUGGGGAAUCUGCCUUUGAGCGGGGGACAACAUUGGGAAACGAAUGCUAAUACCGCAUAAUAACUUUAAACAUAAGUUUUAAGUUUGAAAGAUGCAAUUGCAUCACUCAAAGAUGAUCCCGCGUUGUAUUAGCUAGUUGGUGAGGUAAAGGCCCACCAAGGCGAUGAUACAUAGCCGACCUGGGCGGGUGAUCGGCCCCCUUGGGACUGGGGCACGGCCCCAACUCCCACGGGAGGCAGGAGUAGGGGAUCUUCGGCAAUGGACGAAAGUCUGACCGAGCCACGCCGCGUGAGGGAAGAAGGUUUUCGGAUCGUAAAACUCUGUUGGUAGAGAAGAACGUUGGUGAGAGUGGAAAGCUCAUCAAGUGACGGUAACUACACAGAAAGGGACGGCUAACUACGUG